UGAUCAAAUAAAAUCUUCUUGCAUUAAAGAAGUUAGUGAAUGUCAUGAUUAAAAAUAGAAAAUCAAGUAGAAGUUAUGUGGGCUGCCAAACAUGAAAAAUUCCCGUGUCAAUUCCUCAACAAAAAUGUACAAAAAUAAUAAUUAAAACUAUAUAGGCAUGAUUAACGAUAAAUCCCCGUCUUUAUAGGCUUUUAGCAUGUAGUAAAAAUUCAGGAGUAAAGAUCAAUGGCUCCUUCGAUUCACCCGCCCUGCACACCGACUGCAUCAUGUACGCCAAUUCGAUGCCACCCCACGCCGCCGCCGUGUCAAAAUCCAGAACGAUGCUUACGAAAGACCACAUCGAAAAAGAUAAAGCCUUGUCGAAGUGCUGUUUCCAUUAUGAGAGACAGGGAGAAGGCCAAGGCUACGUGUGGCAGCUGCAACAAACUAAGACGUUCUUCUAGUCAAAAAUCUAUAGACCAGUUUCUUAAAAAAAAAUCUAAAGAGGGAAAGAUGAAAAGGAAGGAUAGAAUAACAGGAAGCCAUAGUUACGCAAAUUAUUCCAAAAAACAAGGCUCUCGUCGAGCCGAGUCCGACUGUUGCUUGGGCAAAGGGCAUAGAGGACGGCUUAAACGACCGAGAAAAUGUUGUGAAAUACUUUAAUAAUAAUACAAAGAUAUCAGAAAACACUGUUCUUGUACAAAAUGUUGAGAAAUCGUAUAACUUAUUUCGAUACCUUAUUCUAACAUAAAUAAAAGCUUUGUACCUACA